GUUCGAGCCCCGUCAGUCCCG
rnacentral:tRNA from 1 species